UUUUAAUCUGCUUUAUAGGAGGAAGGAGGAAGAAAGAAUGAACGGAGAAGCUUUUGAGAGCAGAGCAAGAAUGAUUUAAGCAGUUUCUGAUGCAUAUUUCCCUUUAUAUCCAUUCUGUAAUAUUUCUGACUGUGAAGGUGAAGUGACAGUAGAAAGCUAAUAUUUGUCAGUUGAUAAAGAACCAAGUUUCACCAAUGCAGAUUUAUUUCACAGGGAAAUAUUUAUGUAUCUAAAAGGUGUAAAGCGAGCAGCAGGUAGAAUGCAUGUCGGGAUGGCCUGGGAGGAACGCCAGAGGAAAUUGGAGUUGGAAAUCUGGAGAAAAAUGGACCAUCGCACAAUAGAUUCAGCCUUUGGAUUUGGAUUCUAUCAGCCUCUAUAAUCAAUGCUGAUCACCCUCGGAUGGAAAGAGCAGUAACGAUUCACAUCGACGAUGACACCUGGCAGGAAACCCAUAAGGUUUGUGCCUGCAUUGCCCUGGUUGGUUUUUAUUGCUUGUACAUAGAUGCAGUUUAACUGAAGCUUGUGUCUGAUCCCAUCAACGCUCCUUGCCCCAUGCUUACUGCCUUCACAGCACUCUUGUUGACUCAGGGAGAGAGAAGUCCUUAGCAUGGCAAACUUGUUUAUUCCUUUUCUCCUCCCUGGGACUCACAUUAGUGAUGCCUUUCUAAAGGACACUAACUUAACUACUACCCAUUUCUCUUUUUCAAGAUGCCAUUAAAAUCUGCUAGGGGUGACAUGUUUGAAUAAGCCCUCCUAUCCUUCUCUUCAUACUCAGCAUUUAUUUUCAUUCUAAUCAAAGUCACCCUCGACUUGCCUUAUUGUUGAAUUUCAGAAUUUUAGAGAGAGAAGCAACUUUCGCCAUCAUAUGGAGACCAAUAGACUCUACAGAAAAUGAGUUGGCUGAAGGCAUAUGCCUGAUAUUUAAUAUUUAUGCUACAGAAUUUUUCUUAUGGAAAAAUUCAAAACAUAUGCAAAUUUAAGAGAACAGUAUAAUGAACCCCCUAUGUGCCCGUAACCUAGGUUCUACAAUUUCCGAUUCUUGCCUUAUCUCAUUUCUGCUAAACUUAGGCUGACCACAUUUUUCUAGUUUAAAUCAAUAUAUGACUGCUAAUUGUCUAAACCUCCCGCUACUCUCUCAGAGGUGUUCAAAUUUGAACAACGAAUUGUAUAUCCACCCUCUCUAUAUACCUUCUUAACCACCCCCAAGUCCCUACCACUGGGUUGUUUUGAAGCAAAUCCCAGACCUCCUAUCAUCUCGUCUUUAAAUAUUUUUGUGUAAAUACCUUUCUUAAUAAGAAUUCUUAGCCUGCUGUAUGUCCAUUUUCUCCAAAACCAUGUUAAAAAUUCUAAUCAAUAAUAAAAUGUUUGAAAGUACAAAAUGCUAGAUCCA
rnacentral:lncRNA from 1 species